UACGUAGGGGGGCAAGCGUUGUCCGGAUUUAUUGGGCGUAAAGAGCGUGUAGGCGGCCAGGUAGGUCAGCUGUGAAAACUCGAGGCUCAACCUCGAGACGCCGGUUGAAACCAUCUGGCUAGAGUCCGGAAGAGGAGAGUGGAAUUCCUGGUGUAGCGGUGAAAUGCGCAGAUAUCAGGAAGAACACCCGUGGCUAAGGCGGCUCUUUAGUACGGUACUGACGCUGAGACGCGAAAGCGUGGGGAGCGAACAGG
rnacentral:rRNA from 1 species